AAGUCGAGCGGCAGCACAGAGAAACUUGUUUCUCGGGUGGCGAGCGGCGGACGGGUGAGUAAUGCCUGGGAAAUUGCCCUGAUGUGGGGGAUAACCAUUGGAAACGAUGGCUAAUACCGCAUGAUGCCUACGGGCCAAAGAGGGGGACCUUCGGGCCUCUCGCGUCAGGAUAUGCCCAGGUGGGAUUAGCUAGUUGGUGAGGUAAGGGCUCACCAAGGCGACGAUCCCUAGCUGGUCUGAGAGGAUGAUCAGCCACACUGGAACUGAGACACGGUCCAGACUCCUACGGGAGGCAGCAGUGGGGAAUAUUGCACAAUGGGCGCAAGCCUGAUGCAGCCAUGCCGCGUGUGUGAAGAAGGCCUUCGGGUUGUAAAGCACUUUCAGUAGGGAGGAAGGUGGUAUUGUUAAUAGCGCUAUCAUUUGACGUUACCUACAGAAGAAGCACCGGCUAACUCCGUGCCAGCAGCCGCGGUAAUACGGAGGGUGCGAGCGUUAAUCGGAAUUACUGGGCGUAAAGCGCAUGCAGGUGGUUUGUUAAGUCAGAUGUGAA
rnacentral:rRNA from 1 species